rnacentral:rRNA from 1 species
CCUACGGGGGGCAGCAGUGGGGAAUAUUGGACAAUGGGGGGAACCCUGAUCCAGCCAUGCCGCGUGUGUGAAGAAGACCCUCGGGUUGUAAAGCACUUUCAGUGAGGAAGAACGCCUGGUGGUUAAUACCCAUCAGGAAAGACAUCACUCACAGAAGAAGCACCGACUAACUCCGUGCCAGCAGCCGCGGUAAUACGGAGGGUGCGAGCGUUAAUCGGAAUUACUGGGCGUAAAGCGCGCGUAGGUGGCUUGAUAAGCCGGUUGUGAAAGCCCCGGGCUCAACCUGGGAACGGCAUCCGGAACUGUCAAGCUAGAGUGCAGGAGAGGAAGGUAGAAUUCCCGGUGUAGCGGUGAAAUGCGUAGAGAUCGGGAGGAAUACCAGUGGUGAAGGCGGCCUUCUGGACUGACACUGACACUGAGGUGCGAAAGCGUGGGUAGCAAACAGGAUUAGAUACCCCUGUAGUC